rnacentral:lncRNA from 1 species
CACUUACCCUGAAAGGAUUAUUGUUGCAGUCAGCAACCUUAGGAUCUCAUCCAGGAAGCCGCAGGAUUCUGGGGACCAGCAUGGAACACCAACCGAGAUGGGCUCCCGUUCAUGAAACCAUUUAUUCAGCAUGGGAACAAACUCAGGUCCAGAACAGAGAGCCCUGAACAGAGGCACAGCAGGGGCUUUUGAGAGACAGAACUCACAAGGGUCACCAGCUUUGAGGGUGGAGUUCAGGGUCAGGGACCAGUAGAAACACACCAAGGGAGAACCCCCCAGGGACUCAAACCCAAUCAAGCUCAAACUCCUGGGCUGCCCUUCACAAGGGGUUUGGGGUGGGACAAUGUAACGCUUUGUCGUCCCUGAGGCACACUGCCAUAGAUUAUUGUCAUCUUUCCAAACUGCCUCUUUAGUUCUAACACACAGCUCCUAUGUAAAGAGUCUCUCCUAAAGCUCUAUUUUGGUCAAUCUUUUCAGAUACACUUGAUAUAAGCACCUACUUUUCAUGGUAUUCUGUUACAACUCUAGAAUCAAUAACAGUAUCCUUUUUCUCCACUGCAUCACUAAUGAUUUAAACAAACCAAAUCAAACAAUGCUGGAACACUUAGUAUAAUUGAAGAAAGGAAUCAAGUAACAGCUAAGGUUUGCUAUGCAAGAAUUUGUAUUGCCUCUUAUUAUUUGCAGGUUCUCUGUGGCUCCUAUCUGGUUACCUCUUCAGCAGUGAACCUAUUUCAUGCAGUAGUUUUGUCUUCCUUUAAUGCAACAUAAGCAUAACAACAGAUACUUCACGUUACAUGGUAGCAAUUUAUUUAAGUUCAUCUGCUUUUUUAAUAUCUGAUAUUGAAAAUGCUUUGGCUUUAUUUAAAGCUGUACUGUGAUUUAUAAUUACAGAAUUCUGCUGGCCUAGUGAAGAGCACUUAAACUGCACACCAAGAUUUUCCAGGUGGAAUAACAUGAAAAAAGUGGAAUUUGCCUGCAUUACUCUUAAAAUGACUCUCAUGGAAUGCGAGUAUAAAUAUUGUUUGAUUUCCCAUAGUGCCUCAAAUGGGAAACAGGAUGAAGACCUAAUGGAAAACCACUCAGACUAUUCACUGAGUCCUCACAGAGUCUCUUGUAAGAGCCCACCAGGCUGGAAGUGGAAUCAGAGAGCAAGGGCUGGACUUUUGCCCCCUUAAAGGAGUUCUGGUCAUCACCAGCUGGAGACACACAACUCACUGGAUUGUGCCCCAAUGCGAUCACGAUUAAGAUCCCAGUGAGCUGACCCAGAGAGCUGUGUGGCACUCAGCUCCUGGGUAUCAGUGCUGGCAGUGCUGCAGCUCACAGAUCCAGAGCAGAUCUUCAAGAGCACUGAUGCAGGGAGCUUAUGUCUGGAGAAUGGAAUCUGGGAGGAACAGAGAGACACGGGAAUGUUUUGCAAGUAUCAUCUAUUAUUUACCCUUCAAGAUAUUUUCUAGCUUUAAGGGUUACAUAUUAUCUGU